CUGGGAAAAAAGCAUAAGUUGCUACAUCGCAAAAAUGGAGAUGCAUUGGGGAUUGCCAAUUACAAUGAUUCUCCUAACAAUGGGAUAAUCUUGUGGGAAAACAAGAAGACAGUGGUGGAACAUGUCCAAAUGCAUGACCUUCUAUAUAGUGAUGUAGCUCCGAAAAACUGA
rnacentral:lncRNA from 11 species